UUGGCCCGAAGGGCGAGUCUCAGGAUGAGACGAGUAUACCUGCUGCAGGUUCGGUGUCGAACGCAGUGAGACAACGGAGCCGCUUGCGGCAGCGGCCCGAAGGGCGAGGCGAAGCCGAGUCAUCCUGUACGACCCAUCA
rnacentral:sRNA from 6 species